rnacentral:rRNA from 1 species
CCUACGGGAGGCAGCAGUGGGGAAUAUUGCACAAUGGGCGAAAGCCUGAAGCAGCAACGCCGCGUGAGGGAUGAAGGCCUUAGGGUUGUAAAGCCCUGUUCUCAAGGAAGAAAAUGACGGUACUUGAGGAGCAAGCCCCGGCUAACUACGUGCCAGCAGCCGCGGUAAUACGGGGGGGGCAAGCGUUAUCCGGAAUUACUGGGCGUAAAGGGGGCGUAGGUGGGUUCUUAAGUCAGAGGUAAAAUGCUGCGGCUAAACCGUAGUAAGCCUUUGAAACUGGGAAGCUUGAGUGCAGGAGAGGCAGGUGGAAUUCCUGGUGUAGCGGUGAAAUGCGUAGAUAUUAGGAGGAACACCAGUUGCGAAGGCGGCUCUCUGGACUGUAACUGACGCUGAGGCACGAAAGCGUGGGGAGCAAACAGGAUUAGAUACCCGGGUAGUC